AGUGCUCCAGAUAAUUCAACUCAGAGUGGACUUCAGACUUUGGAUCCUGGGCAGGAACAAGAUGUGGAAGAGCUUGAUUUAUUUAUUUCUCUGCAGACACCACUGAAAGAGGAAGCAUUUGAUGAAGCUGAUAACAUUAAUGGCAGACAAGUGGAUCUGAGGGUAUUUAAUUCCCGGCUCCUGGUGGUCUGGGCACAACCGAAAGGUCUGCAACAAGACCUUCCAAGCUUUGUCUCAGUACAAAGCUUGCACCCAGGAAUGGAGUAGGCUCUGAUCCUGCCCUGCUGCCUGUUGCUCUGUUAUUCUAAGUUGGCAGCCGAGUGUGGAAACUUAAGAGGCCAGGGCCGGCAGGCAGAGGAGCUCUGGACACAGGAAACACACUGCUUUUGGACAGUUCCAGCCCACUGUGGGCAGCACCAUUCCCUGGUCAGAUGAUCCUGGGCUAUAUAAGAAAGCCAGGUGUGAGCCUGCGAGAAAACCAGCAAUAAGCACACCUCCACGGCCAACAAUGAAGACUGACACAGUUCCCAGAGCAGUUCUGAAAGAGAUGGUGGAGUCUAGAGAGGCCUUACCCUGCUGAACUGGAACGCUUUUGUUGUCUACAAGAACCUUCAAGGAUUCCUCCAGAGUCUCCUCCUUUGAUGAAGCUGGACCUGCUACCUGUACCUGGGUGUCAUCUCCCCUCCCAUCAUGCCCCCUGUGUGCGUACUGUAAUCAGUGUUUCCUCGGAGCAUCCGGGAGCUCCGCCAGGCAACUCCCCCAGUGCAGGCAUGCUGUGGGCACCCAGGCCACGUUUCCAAAUGAAGAAUGAAUUUACCAGCAAUAAAAACAGCAUAUCAAGUGAACUAUUCAGCCCCUUGCUUUGUCUACACCUCAAGCAAGCAAAGAGAAGUCUCUUUCCAGUACCUUCGUCAUGGUUCUGAUGCAGGAGGACCUCUGGCUUGGUGUGGAUAGAGUCCCCAGGGGGGAAGAAUGGUGAGAAGAGCAUUCGAGAUUUCCUCUGCUUCAGGAUAUGCUGAAGGAGUUCAUAGAGCACGUCGCCUGGAGAGAAAAAGGAACAAGAAGCGAAGAGGUGGGAUGCGUUGCUUAACAGCUACGUUAACUGUGUUAACUAACAGAACGGAUUGUUGACCUUUGACAGGGAUAGGACACAGCGCCUAUUCCUAUGUAUGACUCUACAUGUCAGGGCUGUGUGGUUUUUUAACAGUUCUUAUUUUAAGAUUUAGUUUAAGUUUGAUUUAGGUGCGUGUGGGCCAUGUGCAUAUGUGGGAGUUUGCAGAGGUCAGAAGCUGAUGCUGUCAAGUCGUGAUGCUGGACAGUGCACUUAGAGCUUGCUAAGUGAGGAGACGUUGGGACAAAUGUACUCAUAACUAAAUUAGUAACAAUUAUAAUAAUAAAGAGGACAAGGAAAAUUUGA
rnacentral:lncRNA from 1 species